UGGGGAAUAUUGGACAAUGGGGGGAACCCUGAUCCAGCCAUGCCGCGUGUGUGAAGAAGGCCUUAUGGUUGUAAAGCACUUUAAGCGAGGAGGAGGGUACUGGUAUUAAUACUACCAGGUACUGGACGUUACUCGCAGAAUAAGCACCGGCUAACUCUGUGCCAGCAGCCGCGGUAAUACAGAGGGUGCAAGCGUUAAUCGGAAUUACUGGGCGUAAAGCGCGCGUAGGUGGUUCGUUAAGUUGAAUGUGAAAGCCCCAGGCUCAACCUGGGAACUGCAUCCAAAACUGGCGAGCUAGAGUAGGGCAGAGGGUGGUGGAAUUUCCUGUGUAGCGGUGAAAUGCGUAGAUAUAGGAAGGAACACCAGUGGCGAAGGCGACCACCUGGGCUCAUACUGACACUGAGGUGCGAAAGCGUGGGGAGCAAACAGG
rnacentral:rRNA from 1 species